UAGGUCCGAGGGUUUCUCCCAUCGUGGUGGCUGGGGGAAUGAUUAGGGAGGAAAGAGGUUCCGGUGCGGGACAACAUUAACCUGUAGCUGCUGCCGGGGGACCAUUAAACUCUUGUUAUUUUAUAGUAAUCGGAGCGUCUUAUUUUAAUAAGUCGAAACUUUCAACAACGGAUCUCUUGGUUCUGGCAUCGAUGAAGAACGCAGCGAAAUGCGAUAAGUAAUGUGAAUUGCAGAAUUCAGUGAAUCAUCGAAUCUUUGAACGCACAUUGCGCCCAUUAGUAUUCUAGUGGGCAUGCCUGUUCGAGCGUCAUUUCAACCCUUAAGCCUAACUUAGUGUUGGGAAUCUACCUCUUUCUUUUAAGUUGUAGUUCCCGAAAUACAAAGGCGGAUUUGUAAUAUCCUCUGAGCGUAGUAAUUCUUUUCUCGCUUUUGUCAGGUGCUGCGACUCCCAGCCGCUAAAACCCCAAGUUUUUGUGGUUGAGCUCGGAUCAUGUAAGAAUACCCGCUGAGCUCUCCCCUAUCUCUAACCGGAAGAAGGAACAUUAUAGAGUUUUCUAAACUCCAACCCAUGUGAACUUACCUUUUGUUGCCUCGGCAGAAGUUACCCGGUACCUGGAGACAGGUUACCUGUAGCUGCUGCCGGCGGACCAUUAAACUCUUGUUAUUUUAUAGUAAUCUGAGCGUCUUAUUUUAAUAAGUCAAACUUUCACAACGGAUCUCUGGGUUUCUGGCAUCAAUAAAAAGCACGAAAUGCGAAUAAGUAAGUGUGAAUUGCAAAAUCUCGGGAAACCACAAACUUUUAACGCAAUUGCGCCAUAAUUAUUUUAGGGGGAUGCUGUUCCGCCCCCUUUACCUUAAACCAAGUGAGGUGUUGAGAUCUCCCUCUUUUUUUAGUUGUAUUCCAGAAAUAAACGCGGAUAUUGUUAUACUCUGACGCGUGAGAAAUUUUUUCCUCUUUACGAGGUGCAGAGCCCCCACACCACACUUGUGUGGUGUACUCGGAACAGGAGAAUACCCCCCUACACUAAACGACUCUAGCGCAGAGGAAAA
rnacentral:rRNA from 1 species